rnacentral:rRNA from 1 species
UACGGAGGGAGCUAGCGUUGUCCGGAAUUACUGGGCGUAAAGCGUGCGCAGGCGGUCUUGUAAGACAGUCGUGAAAGCCCCGGGCUUAACCUGGGAACUGCGAUUGUGACUGCAAGGCUAGAGUGUGUCAGAGGGGGGUGGAAUUCCACGUGUAGCAGUGAAAUGCGUAGAGAUGUGGAGGAACACCGAUGGCGUAGGCAGCCAACUGGACAGUAACUGACGCUCAUGCACGAAAGCGUGGGGAUCAAACAGG